rnacentral:rRNA from 1 species
GGCUUUUUGAUUAUAAUUUAAGGUCUAGCCUGCCCAAUGAUUAAUAUUAAAUGGCCGCGGUAUUUUGACCGUGCAAAGGUAGCAUAAUCAUUAGUUUUUUAAUUGAAAGCUUGUAUGAAAGGUUUGAUGAAAAAAUAACUGUCUCUAUUUAAAUUUUUUAGAAAUUUAUUUUUAAGUUAAAAAGCUUAAAUAAUUAUUAAAGACGAGAAGACCCUAUAGAGUUUUAUAUUUUUAUAAAAUUUAUUAUAUUUUAGAAUUUUUUAAUGAUUUUAUAAAUAUUAUUUGGUUGGGGUGAUUUAAAAAUUAAUUUAACUUUUUUAUUUAGUAUUACAUUGAUUUAUGAAUUUAUGAUCUUUAUUAAAGAUUGAUAGAUAAAAUUACCUUAGGGAUAACAGCGUAAUUUUUUUUAGAGUUCUUAUCAAAAAAAAAGAUUGCGACCUCGAUGUUGGAUUAAAAUUAAUUAUUGGUGUAGAAGCUAAUAAAUUAGGUCUGUUCGACCUUUAAAAUUUUACAUGAUCUGAGUUUAAACCGGUGUAAG